UGUCCUUGGCCCACAUGUUGUUCAUCUGCAGAUACAGCGUGUUCUUGGAGUUAUCUCUGGAGAUGGGGAAUCGGCUCUUCACAGAGUCUGCAUAUCUUGUGCUACUUCCAUCAGUAUGAAGAUAUGCGAGCCACUGCAGCCCCUUUCCUGGAGCCUGGCGAACCCAGCUCAUUCCAUAGCUACUGAAGGUGAAUCCAGAGGCUACACAGAAUAUGGGACGCUCAUCAGGUCUUCAGAGAGCACCCAGUGCCACCUCACUGAGAAGGACCUUAUGACGAACUCCUAACCGACUACACUGCCAUCAGGAUUACGGAAAGAUUCCUCUGGAUUCACGCAAACUGCACAAAAUAGUUCCAGAUCGCCAUUGUCAAGACUGUGGAUGACCAUCCCCAUGAUGACCAUUGUGUCUGCAAAUGGCCUUGUUGGCAUACAGCCCAUGAAGAAACAUUUAUUCCAGAAAAUAUACUGACAGACGGAAAAGCUAGAAUUUUGAGCUAAG